rnacentral:rRNA from 1 species
GAUGAACGCUAGCGGCAGGCCUAAUACACGCAAGACGAACGGUAAGAUUUUUAGCAAUAGAGAUCCUAGAGUGUCGUAAGGGUGCGCAACACGUAUGCAAUCUGCCCUCAACAGGAGAAUAGCUCCCCGAAAGGGGAAUUAACACUCCGUAAGAUUGUGGUUCGGCAUCGGACAGCAAUUAAAACUGAGGUGGUGGAGGAUGAGCAUGCGCAUGAUUAGUUAGUUGGCGGGGUAACGGCCCACCAAGACGAUGAUCAUUAGGGGAACUGAGAGGUUGAUCCCCCACACUGGCACUGAGAUACGGGCCAGACUCCUACGGGAGGCAGCAGUAGGGAAUAUUGGACAAUGGGUGCGAGCCUGAUCCAGCCAUGCCGCGUGCAGGAAGACGGCCUUCUGGGUUGUAAACUGCUUUUGCCAGGGGAUAAAACGGCUCUGCGGAGCUAAUUGAAGGUACCUGGUGAAUAAGCCACGGCUAACUACGUGCCAGCCGCCGCAGUAAAAC